GCCCCUGUUGUCUAAUGGUUAUGACGUCAGACUUCUAUAAUAUACUACAGUAUGGCAUCUGGAGGUUGCGGGUUCGAGUCCCGCCAGGGGUU